rnacentral:rRNA from 1 species
CACGUAGGGGACGAGCGUUGUCCGGAUUCAUUGGGCGUAAAGCGCGUGUAGGCGGCUUUGCAAGUCGGGUGUGAAAGCCCUCAGCUCAACUGAGGAAGUGCGCCCGAAACUGCAGAGCUUGAGUGCCGGAGAGGGUGGCGGAAUUCCCCAAGUAGAGGUGAAAUUCGUAGAUAUGGGGGAGGAACACCGGUGGCGAAGGCGGCCACCUGGACGGCAACUGACGCUGAGACGCGAAAGCGUGGGGAGCAAACAGG